CUCAGUGACCCUUGGCAGGGCUGAAGUCACUGAGCUUUGUGCUGUCAAGUGUAGAAAACCAGAAUGAAGUGUCUGGAAAAUGGUUAUAGUAGGCAAAUUUUGUGCAUUUAUAAAAAUGCAACCAUUGUUUAGUGACAUAAAAUUAUUAAUGUGAUAGGCUUCUCUCAAGGUCCUCAUUUGUCAGUCCUACAAAGUCCCAUUGGACAAAGUAUUAGUGUUAGUUUAAUCUUCAUUUUCUCUGCAUGAAAUAUCAGUUGUUUUUCUCUCUGUACAUCCUAUCACAGGAUAAUCCAGCACAGUGGUGAAAGGAACCAUGGGUUAAAUCCCAUUAUGGUGGGAAGAGAGAACAUUCUGAAGACAAACUUUCCAGGUCUGAGACCCAGCUCUGCCACUUCCUGGCUGUGUCAAUUUGGUUUGGCAACCGUGGCCAUUGCUGCUAUGAACAUUGGGGUACAGAUCCUGGCCCCUUUUCUUACCAGCUGCAUGACCUUGAGCAAAUGUCUUCAACUUUUUAAACCACCGUCUCCUCCCAUGUAAAAG
rnacentral:lncRNA from 1 species